AUUGAACGCUGGCGGCAGGCCUAACACAUGCAAGUCGAGCGGAUGAAGGGAGCUUGCUCCUGGAUUCAGCGGCGGACGGGUGAGUAAUUCCUAGGAAUCUGCCUGGUAGUUGGGGAUAACGUCCGUAAACGGGCGCUAAUACCGCAUACGUCCUGAUUGAGAAAGUGGGGGAUCUUCGGACCUCACGCUAUCAGAUGAGCCUAGGUCGGAUUAGCUAGUUGGUGGGGUAAAGGCCUACCAAGGCGACGAUCCGUAACUGGUCUGAGAGGAUGAUCAGUCACACUGGAACUGAGACACGGUCCAGACUCCUACGGGAGGCAGCAGUGGGGAAUAUUCGACAAUGGGCGAAAGCCUGAUCCAGCCAUGCCGCGUGUGUGAAGAAGGUCUUCGGAUUGUAAAGCACUUUAAGUUGGGAGGAAGGGCAGUAAGUUAAUCCCUUGCUGUUUUGACGUUACCAACAGAAUAAGCACCGGCUAACUUCGUG
rnacentral:rRNA from 1 species